rnacentral:misc_RNA from 1 species
UAAUAAGUGUUUUAUGGCACUUUUUAAAUCCAUAUCCACCUUGUGUGCAAUGUCAGUCGAUCUUCUUCAUGGAGAUCGACCAAACAUCAACCUUUAUUUUUUAACUCUUUGUCUGGAAAAUAUUAUGAAUAAACAAUUCAAAAUA